UAUCUUCCAGUAUGUUCUGUUCAGACACUUCAUCCUCAGCCCUGCUCAUUGCUGCCCUCCUGUCCCUGCUGUCGUGGCUUCAAGACACUACACCAGAAUGGCCUUUUCCCAGGGACCACACAAGCCUUUUCAUCCGUCGCCUUCUUCCGGUUUUGUUCUGUAGCUUCCUGGGCACUGGCGGCAGAAGAAGGAUCCAGUAUUAACAUCUGUGCUGUAAUUUUCCAUGACUAUCUCAGAACGACUGAGGACAUGACUACUAUUUUCUGGAUCAAAAAGUCUUUUAGGCUCUGUCCUGACCUCUUUGGACAAACAUGGUUUAGUCAGAGCCAGCUGUCAUUUCUGCUGAGCGUUCCAGCACGCGUUACUGAUGGCCUUUGGUCCAGGGUGCUGAUCUGGGGCAUGGUGUUUCCUGAUCGGCAGACGCUUGUCUUCGUUUGGACAUAGAGAAGAUCCCUGGGAGAAAUGUGGAUUGCGGAGCAACCCAUAGAAGAACUGGACAUCCUGCCUUUCCUCUGACAAUAUGUGGCGUGGUCUGUCCUCUUCAAAGUGACAAACUGAGAAAAGCGAUCGGCUGAUUGUGACAUGGAGAACACCUUACAUUUUUACCUGCUAUAUCCAAUGGCACAUAUUUUGUGUGUUUGUUUCAAUAAAUCCUAAAUUACAAGGGGCGUUUCCUCCUGA
rnacentral:lncRNA from 1 species